rnacentral:rRNA from 1 species
UAGGGAAUCUUCCGCAAUGGACGCAAGUCUGACGGAGCAACGCCGCGUGAGUGAAGAAGGAUUUCGGUUCGUAAAACUCUGUUGUUAGAGAAGAACAGCGCAUAGAGUAACUGUUAUGCGUGUGACGGUAUCUAACCAGAAAGCCACGGCUAACUACGUGCCAGCAGCCGCGGUAAUACGUAGUUGGCAAGCGUUGUCCGGAUUUAUUGGGCGUAAAGCGAGCGCAGGCGGUCAAUUAAGUCUGAUGUGAAAGCCCCCGGCUCAACCGGGGAGGGUCAUUGGAAACUGGUUGACUUGAGUGCAGAAGAGGAGAGUGGAAUUCCAUGUGUAGCGGUGAAAUGCGUAGAUAUAUGGAGGAACACCAGUGGCGAAGGCGACUCUCUGGUCUGUAACUGACGCUGAGGUUCGAAAGCGUGGGUAGCAAACAGG